CAUGCAGUCGACGAUGAUCCGGUUUCGGCCGGUGAUUAGUGGCGAACGGGUGAGUAACACGUGGGUAAUCUGCCCUGCACUCUGGGAUAAGCCUGGGAAACUGGGUCUAAUACCGGAUAUGACCUUCGGUCGCAUGAUCGUUGGUGGAAAGCUUUUGCGGUGUGGGAUGGGCCCGCGGCCUAUCAGCUUGUUGGUGGGGUAGUGGCCUACCAAGGCGACGACGGGUAGCCGGCCUGAGAGGGUGACCGGCCACACUGGGACUGAGACACGGCCCAGACUCCUACGGGAGGCAGCAGUGGGGAAUAUUGCACAAUGGGCGCAAGCCUGAUGCAGCGACGCCGCGUGAGGGAUGACGGCCUUCGGGUUGUAAACCUCUUUCAGCAGGGAAGAAGCGCAAGUGACGGUACCUGCAGAAGAAGCACCGGCUAACUACGUGCCAGCAGCCGCGGUAAUACGUAGGGUGCAAGCGUUGUCCGGAAUUAUUGGGCGUAAAGAGCUCGUAGGCGGCUUGUCGCGUCGGUUGUGAAAGCCCGGGGCUUAACCCUGGGUCUGCAGUCGAUACGGGCAGGCUAGAGUUCGGUAGGGGAGACUGGAAUUCCUGGUGUAGCGGUGAAAUGCGCAGAUAUCAGGAGGAACACCGGUGGCGAAGGCGGGUCUCUGGGCCGAUACUGACGCUGAGGAGCGAAAGCGUGGGGAGCGAACAGGAUUAGAUACCCUGGUAGUCCACGCUGUAAACGGUGGGAACUAGGUGUGGGCAGCAUUCCACGUUGUCUGUGCCGCAGCUAACGCAUUAAGUUCCCCGCCUGGGGAGUACGGCCGCAAGGCUAAAACUCAAAGGAAUUGA
rnacentral:rRNA from 1 species